UUGCGGUUAAAAAGCUCGUAGUUGGAUUUCUGUCGGUGAGUGAAAGUCCGCUCUCAGUGGUUGGUACUUUUCACGCCACCGGCAUCUUCCUGGGGAUUGUGUCUGCUCUUUGUUGAGUGGCGCAUAAUCCAGGACUUUUACUUUGAAGAAAUGAGAGUGUUUCAAGCAGGCCUACGCCGUGAAUACGUUAGCAUGGAAAUAAUAGCAUCGGACCUCGUUCCAAAGCUGUUGGUUUCUUGGACCGAGGUAAAGGUGAAUAGGGAUUGUUGGGGGCAUUCGUAUUUAACUGUCAGAGGUGAAAUUCUUGGAUUUGUUGAAGACGGACUACUGCGAAAGCAUCUGCCAAAGAUGUUCUCAUUGAUCAAGAACGAAAGUUAGGUGAUCGAAGACGAUCAGAUACCGUCCUAGUCUUAACCAUAAACUAUGCCGACUGGAGAUCGGGGUCGUUAACUUUGUGACGCCCUCUGCAUCUUGAGAGAAAUCGAAGUCUUUGGGUUCCGGGGGGAGUAUGGUCGCAAGGCUGAAACUUAAAGGAAU
rnacentral:rRNA from 1 species